AACGCGAAGAACCUUACCAGCCCUUGACAUCCCGGUCGCGGGAACGAGAGAUCGAUCCCUUCAGUUCGGCUGGACCGGAGACAGGUGCUGCAUGGCUGUCGUCAGCUCGUGUCGUGAGAUGUUGGGUUAAGUCCCGCAACGAGCGCAACCCUCGCCCUUAGUUGCCAUCAUUCAGUUGGGCUCUCUAAGGGGACUGCCGGUGAUAAGCCGCGAGGAAGGUGGGGAUGACGUCAAGUCCUCAUGGCCCUUACGGGCUGGGCUACACACGUGCUACAAUGGCGGUGACAGUGGGACGCAAUGGGGCAACCCUGCGCAAAUCUCAAAAAGCCGUCUCAGUUCGGAUUGUGCUCUGCAACUCGAGCACAUGAAGUUGGAAUCGCUAGUAAUCGCAGAUCAGCACGCUGCGGUGAAUACGUUCCCGGGCCUUGUA
rnacentral:rRNA from 1 species